rnacentral:rRNA from 1 species
GAUGAACGCUGGCGGCGUGCCUAAUACAUGCAAGUCGAGCGAACGGACGAGAAGCUUGCUUCUCUGAUGUUAGCGGCGGACGGGUGAGUAACACGUGGAUAACCUACCUAUAAGACUGGGAUAACUUCGGGAAACCGGAGCUAAUACCGGAUGAUAUUUUGAACCGCAUGGUUCAAAAGUGAAAGACGGUCUUGCUGUCACUUAUAGAUGGAUCCGCGCUGCAUUAGCUAGUUGGUAAGGUAACGGCUUACCAAGGCAACGAUGCAUAGCCGACCUGAGAGGGUGAUCGGCCACACUGGAACUGAGACACGGUCCAGACUCCUACGGGAGGCAGCAGUAGGGAAUCUUCCGCAAUGGGCGAAAGCCUGACGGAGCAACGCCGCGUGAGUGAUGAAGGUCUGCGGAUCGUAAAACUCUGUUAUUAGGGAAGAACAUAUGUGUAAGUAACUGUGCACAUCUUGACGGUACCUAAGCAGAAAGCCACGGCUAACUACGU